CUUUCCUGAGCCAGAAAGAGGCCAAGUAAAGUCAAAUGUGACAUCCUUCCUGUUCCCCAUUCAGAUAUCUGAGGCUUCUUUCUCCUUUGGUCAGAUCUGAUUUGUAUUUCUUCUUUAUUAAUACCCCCAGAGUACUUCAGGCUGCUUUCUGCCUG
ensembl:misc_RNA